rnacentral:rRNA from 1 species
GACGAACGCUGGCGGCGUGCUUAACACAUGCAAGUCGAACGGUGAUGCUCCAGCUUGCUGGAGUGGAUCAGUGGCGAACGGGCGAGUAACACGUGAGCAACCUGCCCCAGACUCUGGAAUAAGCGCUGGAAACGGCGUCUAAUACUGGAUACGAAACUGGCCCGCAUGGGCAUGGUUUGGAAAGUUUUUCGGUUUGGGAUGGGCUCGCGGCCUAUCAGCUUGUUGGUGAGGUAAUGGCUCACCAAGGCGACGACGGGUAGCCGGCCUGAGAGGGCGACCGGCCACACUGGGACUGAGACACGGCCCAGACUCCUACGGGAGGCAGCAGUGGGGAAUAUUGCACAAUGGGCGAAAGCCUGAUGCAGCGACGCCGCGUGAGGGAUGACGGCCUUCGGGUUGUAAACCUCUUUCAGCAGGGAAGAAGCGAAAGUGACGGUACCUGCAGAAGAAGCACCGGCUAACUACGUG